UUCGUAGGCGGUGUGGCAAGUCGGGAGUGAAAUCUCUGGGCUUAACCCAGAGACUGCUUCCGAAACUGCUGUGCUUGAGUGUGGGAGAGGCGCGUGGAAUUGCAGGUGUAGCGGUGAAAUGCGUAGAUAUCUGCAGGAACACCCGUGGCGAAAGCGGCGCGCUGGACCACUACUGACGCUGAGGAACGAAAGCUAGGGGAGCAAACA
rnacentral:rRNA from 1 species